ensembl:processed_transcript 1110038B12Rik RIKEN cDNA 1110038B12 gene
CUCUUUGUGCACCCGCCCACACGGUUUGUCCUGUUUUCACCCUUCUUUGCUCUCCACCGGUCUGGGCAGGGUCUGAGGACUCCGGAGAGCAAGGCAUGGGUCCGCCUCGUGCCGCAGGUUCCUGGCCCACGCCAGCCAUACCCAGUAGCACAAUGGGAUUUGAGGACACACGCCAGCUGCCUACACCUGAAGAAAGGGUGAGCUCUGAGGACUUCGCAGGGGCCCCAUCCCCUCACCUAGAUGAGGGCUAACCUUGGAGUCCAGACAAAGGUGGAAGUGACCUAGAUGUGACCUGAAUGAGCUAAUCAUCUAAUGAGAGCCAGCCCUUUGUCCUGCCCACAUGAAGGGCUUUGCUGCUACGCACUGACAAGUUGGACGGCUUUUUAUUGCUUUGUUGCCAGUUAUCUGAACAUGAGAGGCUGUAAGGUGUAAUCUGCGAGCCCUGCGCCCAGACUGAACCAGGGCCUCCCUUGAACAUGAGUAUUAGACAAUGAAAUAAGAACUUAUCUUGCCCAGACUAUAUAAUGGCUUGGAAAUGCAUAGUUUCCUGAACGAUCUCAAUAAAAUACUUUUAAAAG